UCAGGGCAGGGAGAGAUUCAAAGGUGUUCGCCGUGAAAACCAGUGAUGUGACAAUUCCCCGGGAAUGCUGGCUGGCAGACAGCACCAGCUGGGAGAGGGAAGAGCGUGUUUCCUCAUCUGUAAAAUGGAAAGAAAUCAGUCAGGCCAGAAUCAACGUGAGGAUAAAAUAACAAAACAGAAAAGUUACUCCAAGCAUGAAUCUUGCAGUAUGUCUAUAGCGUUAUCUUCUCAUGCAAAGAACAGCAAAAUAUACAAAGACUACAAGACCUUUACCAAAAGCAGAUGUUGUGAAGUCGGAUGAAGCCAUCAUUCAGACAUGUGGAAUGUCCGAAACUGUCAUUUUUUGGCAACCAUAAGUCUGCUCUGGUAUCUCGAUUCAGAGACAUGGACUAUUUUCUGCAGGAUUGUAUUAUAAAUAGUUCAUUUAAAUCUCAAAAUUACAAAGACUGUUUAAACUUGUAUUUGGGGUCUAACAUGAAUAAUCACUAGUUCUAUUUUUCUAUUUUUAGUUCUUAUCAGAUUGGCAAAUAGUGUAUAUUAGAUCAUAUUAAGUUUUAUUUAAUGUUAUGAAAACUGUUUUAUAAGUUACAUGUGAGUAUCAUAUAUUUUUGGAUGGUAAAGUGUGUUAAGUUUGGGGAUAUUAUUAUUAGUGUUUUCGAGUAAUAUCUGAAGCCAUACCUUAAAUUCCAACUGGCGCCGAGGUAGACUAAUUAAAAAGCAUAAAGUGGUUUUACUAGUCACUGCGUUUUGUUUAAACAGUUCUAUCCAUGACUACCAUUUAGUUCUGAUACUUUAUGAGACUGAGGCUUUAUGCUUAUAUUUGAGGAAAUACCAGAUCUGGGGAGAAUAUUCCCCAUUUUGCCUGUAUAUACACCAAAAUUACAAGAAAAGAGCAGACAAAUAGAGUAAUCAUUCUAAAGAUGCAGAAAAUCCUUACAGAAAACAAUUUAAUUUCUAACUAUUGUCAUGGUAGGUAGCAAAUCCAUCCAAUUAGAGGCAGUGGGAGUGCCCAUCACUCGCUGAGAUACCCCACAACCAAGGAAAUGGACGGAGGUGUGAAUGCUGACCGGCUUGGCAAAUGACAAGACCCAGAAGCACACCUUCAUGAAAAAAGAGUGAUGUCAGAAAAUCUUGUGAGGCCUUGGGGAGACUUGGAGGCAUGUUAGAUAAAAUAUUAGGGAAUUAAAAUAAGUUCUGGAGAGGGGCGCCUGGGUGACUCAGCUACUUAAAUUGGACUCUUGGUUUCAGCUCAGGUCAUGAUCUCCUGGUUUCUUGAGUUCAAGCCCCUUGCUGGGUUCUGAGCUGCCAGCAGGGAGCCUGCUUGGGAUUCUCUCUCUCUCUCUCUCUCUCUCUCUCUCUCUCUCUUUCUCUGCCACUCCCCCACUCACGUUGUCUCUGUCUUUCUCAAAAUAAAAAUUAAUAAACUUAAAAAAAUAAGUUCUUGAGACAUGAUUAAUCGCUAAAUUGCUUCUUUUCAUCUUUGCUGCGGGGUAUCACUUUCUUCUACCCUCCCCCUUUUUUCUUUUUUCUUUUUCUGCUUCUAAUACCAUAUGCAUUUACAUUACAGAAAUCCUUGAAUUCAGAGUCAUCAGGUUAUCUUCUCAACUAUAUAAUUCUAAACGCCCCAAAAUUGAUAUUAUCUUUUAAUAAAAUAAUAAGUGGUGUUUUUGAUGAGCAUGUGAGAAACUACGAUAUGUGACGUAUUUCUCUUUCAGCUAAAACCCAUUUGCAUAUUUUAAAACCUAAAUCUUGUAAGGGAGACAUUUUCCUGAAUCCAUUCCUGCCUUUCCAUAUCUAGUUCCACUGUAGUUGUUCAAUGGCGUUGAUUAGGAAAAUACAGGACGAUCUAAAGUCAUGAAUUUAGAAGGCAAGCGCGCAAAAUAUUUUUGAGCCCUAACAUAAAGUGUUUCAGUUUAUUGUAUCCUGCCAGGGAAUUUUGACCAAAACCCUAGAAUCUGAUGUCUUUAUGAAAGGACUCAAAUUCUAAGCAACACUAGUAAAACCCAAUGUUCCUUACUAUCGAAAGAGUGACUAUAUAUAGGGAAUUUUCCAAAUAUGUAUCUGUUCUUCUACAUUUAAACUCUUCAUUUGUGUUCACUAUUAUACAGAAGAUGAAUUCUAAACUCUUUGCAUGAUCCACAAAAUCCUCUACGUUAUGACUUUAGACUGCUUUUUUAAUAUCUCCUUCUUCUUUCUUCCUAUAAACAGGUCCUCCUUAGUAAAGAGAGGUGUAACCAAUAUGCAUUUUCACUAAAUAUGAAAACGUAGAUGCUAACAUCCAUAUUCGGGCUUUCAGAAGAAGCCCAAUCCUACCAUAAUGGAUAGAAUUAAUUUCUAGUUUACCAAAAUAAACCUGAAAUUGUAUCAAAAUUAAUUAUAGCAGCUUUAUCCAAAAAUUAGUAGACAAUUUUUUUUUUAAUUUCACAUUAUCCUACAAGAACAAUUAUUUCUGAACACAGUGUCAGCUGCUGGAUUAUUCCUGUAGUUACUGGACUACACAUGUGCAAUGUUCAAAGGACAUUUGUUUUCCUUUGAGAUGGAGCAACACUAAAAUGCUUGUUUUGGCUUCCCUACCUUGGUACUUAAGGUUGUGGCCUAGUCAUUGUUUUAUCUUUCUCUCUAAGAUGACCUACUGGGGUGUAGAUUUAUCACUCAUUCAUAUGCUAGACUGGAAAAUAUGAUUCAUGAUGUUCGGGACUUUUAUUGAUGUGAUCCCCAAAAUGAAGCUUCACAUACUAGGUGACAAAAAGCUUUUUAAUAUUUUUCAAGUAUGUACCUAAUAUGAUUGUCUCCAUGCAACAUCUUGUUUGUCUUGUUUUAAUUUAUAAUAUUUUUAUGAGUUCCACCGAUUCAUACAGAAGUUGUAAGAAAAAUUGUCCUGAUAUAUGGGCUCAGAAGUAGUUGGUUUUAAGGUGAUAAAACAAUGUCCAUGUGCCUCCGCAUUCAUAUUAUGCACUCUUCCUACAAUAUCUUUGUAACAGAUUGAUAGCAGCAACUUUACAGAGAAGUCAAGGAAGAUAUACUUACACUCUGGAUCACAUCAGUUCCGGUUACUUGAAAGGAACUGCUUUAUAUUCAAGUAACCAUUAGUAUUGAACAAUAUCAAGAGUGGGAAAACAAUUUACAAUGUAUAAUUUUAAUCCUUUCUUUUGUUCAAGAAUCCUCCUCAACAAAAAACAAAAAUGCUCUUCCUUCUUUUAAAAACAUUUAUGUGAGAAUAAAAUGGGUGUGAUCUAAUCUUU